rnacentral:lncRNA from 1 species
UCAGCUGUUGGGUGGAGUGGAGUCAGGUGUUGUGUGGAGAGGAGUCAAGUGUUUUGAGGAGUGGAGUCAGGUGUUGCGGGGAGUGGCGUCAGGUGUUGUGUGGAAUAGAGUCAGGUGUUGUGGAAUGGAGUCAGGUGUUGUGUGGAAUGGAGUCAGGUGUUGUGUGGAGUGGAAUCAGGUGUUGUGAGGAGUGGAGUCAGGUGUUGUGUAGAAUGGAGUCAGGUGUUGUGUGGAGCAGAGUCAGGUGUUGUGAGGAGCGGAGUCAGGUGUUGGGAGUGGAGUCAGGUGUUGUGUAGAAUGGAGUCAGGUGUUGUGUGGAGCAGAGUCAGGUGUUGUGUGGAGCGGAGUCAGGUGUUGGGAGCGGAGUCAGGUGUUGUGAGGAGUGGAAUCAGGUGUUGUGAGGAGUGGAGUCAGGUAUUGUGUGAAGUGGAGUCAGGUGUUGUGUAGUGAGGUGUUGUGAGGAGUGGAGCCAGGUGUUGUGAGGAGCGGAGUCAGGUGUUGUGUGGAGCGGAGUCAGGUGUUGUGUGGAGUGGAGUCAGGUGUUGUGUGGAGU